GGGGAUUUAGCUCAGUGGUAGAGCGCUUGCCUAGCAAGCGCAGGCAGGCCCUGGGUUCGGUCCCCAGCUCCG
rnacentral:tRNA from 1 species